CUUGGAGGCCUGAUUUUUUCUAACCAGUUUAUACAAAUGACAACUGCGGUCCCAUCCACUCCAAUCUGUGGAUUUGGUGAACAUGAACAUCUAUCCUUUAAGCAUGACAUGAAUUUUGUUAAAUAUGGAAUGUUUUCCAGAGCUCACUCACCAACGCAAUCUCUAUGGAGUUCAUCCUUUAUAUAAUUGCAUAGAGAAUGAUUUUAAUGCUCAUGGUGUUCUUCUCCUGAAUUCCAAUUCUUAGCCCAUAUCCUUCUUUAACAUUCCGGACUAUUGGAGGAAUUCUUGACUUCAACAUGUUUCUGGACCCCACUCC
rnacentral:lncRNA from 1 species